rnacentral:rRNA from 1 species
CCUACGGGAGGCAGCAGUGGGGAAUAUUGCACAAUGGGGGAAACCCUGAUGCAGCGACGCCGCGUGAGGGAAGAAGGAUUUCGGUAUGUAAACUUCUAUCAGCAGGGAAGAAAAUGACGGUAGCUGACUAAGAAGCCCCGGCUAACUACGUGCCAGCAGCCGCGGUAAUACGUAGGGGGCGAGCUUUAUCCGGAUUUACUGGGGGUAAAGGGAGCGUAGGCGGUUUAGCAAGUCAGAAGUGAAAGCCCUGGGCUCAACGCAGGGACUGCUUUUGAAACUGGUGAACUAGAGUGCAGGAGAGGUGAGUGGAAUUCCUGGUGUAGCGGUGAAAUGCGUAGAGAUUAGGAGGAACACCAGUGGCGAAGGCGGCUUACUGGACUAUAAAUGACGCUGAGGCGCGAAAGCGUGGGGAGCAAACAGGAUUAGAUACCCGAGUAGUC